GAGUUUGAUCCUGGCUCAGGACGAACGCUGGCGGCGUGCUUAACACAUGCAAGUCGAACGAGGAUGAUGACUUCGGUUGUCAUUCGAGUGGCGGACGGGUGAGUAACGCGUGAGCAAUCUGUCCCACAGAGGGGGAUAACAACUGGAAACAGUUGCUAAUACCGCAUAAGACCACACUGUCGCAUGGCAGAGAGGUCAAAGGAGCAAUCCGCUGUGGGGUGAGCUCGCGUCCGAUUAGUUCGUUGGUGAGGUAACGGCCCACCAAGACAGCGAUCGGUAGCCGACCUGAGAGGGUGAUCGGCCACAUUGGGACUGAGACACGGCCCAGACUCCUACGGGAGGCAGCAGUGGGGAAUAUUGGGCAAUGGGCGAAAGCCUGACCCAGCAACGCCGCGUGAGGGAAGAAGGUUUUCGGAUUGUAAACCUCUGUCCUAAGGGACGAAGGAAGUGACGGUACCUUAGGAGGAAGCCCCGGCUAACUACGUGCCAGCAGCCGCGGUAAUUC
rnacentral:rRNA from 1 species